GUAGGGGGCAAGCGUUGUUCGGAAUUACUGGGCGUAAAGGGCGCGUAGGCGGCAUGGCAAGUCGGGAGUGAAAGGCCUGGGCUCAACCGAGGAACUGCUUUCGAGACUGCCAAGCUAGAGUGCGGAAGGGGCAUCUGGAAUUCCCAGUGUAGCGGUGAAAUGCGUAGAUAUUGGGAAGAACACCUGAGGCGAAGGCGGGAUGCUGGGCCGACACUGACGCUGAGGCGCGAAAGCCAGGGGAGCAAACGGGAUUAGAUACCCCGGUAGUCCUGGCCCUAAACGAUGGAUACUUGGUGUGUGGGGUUCUUCGAGUCCCCGCGUGCCGGAGCUAACGCGGUAAGUAUCCCGCCUGGGGAGUACGGUCGCAAGGCUG
rnacentral:rRNA from 1 species